ensembl:lncRNA
GUAGGUGCCAAGCAGAACUGACACGAGCCUGAUAUGUGUCAGUGAUGCAUGGUCAAGUCAGCAGGCGUAUGCAUGCCAUCACAGGUCUCAACUCCCGGCCGAGCAUCCUGAACCAUCAGGCCCUAUUGUUGUGGCAAACACUAAUGGCCGAGGAUUUCCUUACAUUGUGUUUCUAAACAGGGGGGGAAGGCCAGUCGCGCAAUCCCAUAUUUAAGAUAACAGACUUCUUUAUUUUGGGUUAUGUUUUAUGUAGUGUUCACAAUGUUUGAGCAAUUACACCAGGGAACCUGGGAUCCCCCUAAAGCCCAAAUCCGAGCACCACACGUAUGAUAAGUGUACUAGAUUAUCAAUCCAUGAGUUGAACUCUCAGCAGUAAAUCUGUGUCCCACACCACUAACUGAGGCCAUUCUUCAGUGAAGCGUGAGGCGGACACAGCUACCACAUUUAGAUUGGGAGGGCUGAGUGGGGUUGGCAAGUUCUGCACUAGCCGAGGGCCAAUCAUACGUACACAUAUCUGGUUGCUUAUCUUGGCAGUGAACGGGUUUGAGUUUCAUACAUGAUUAUUAUCCUGACCAGUGACUCAUAGACAUGCAGUGGCCUGGUCUGCGGUUAGACAUGGGUGCCCAGCAGGCAGGACCUUGGAAUGCAGCACGGUCAACUACGGCCACAGGAUGACCGUGAGGAAGAGGCUUAAAGCCAGGACUUAACCUUACAUCCUGUUGUUUAUGGCGACCAUCAAGUACAAAAGAUGGUCUUGCAAGCAUGUGUGUACAAAACAGACACAUGAACACAAAUUAGACGACAUGUUGCCAUGUUGAUGUAUUUUACACCCAUGCCCAGACUAGAGUGACAAGUACAGGGCACAACUUUCAACGAAAGACUCCUUUGAAGAGAGAGACCUAAAUAUUAGACCCCAGAAGUUAAGCCACUUGGGCUAUGGAAGCUAGCUUACUUGGAAUAGAAUAGAAAACUAGAAUAAGAGUGCAGAAUGCUCUGGCUACUUGAAAUGACUCACAUUUACCUCUUUGCUCUGUUGGCUGACUGCUUUUUUUGCUUCAUUACUAAUCCAGACCUACUGUUGACCUGGUCCUGGUAUGGUUGUUAUCAAGGGUACGUCUACUCUCUGAAUCACUGUGGUGUGGCAGCUGACAACCUCAAAACUCAUUAGCCAUUUAAAACAAACAUGCCACAGAUAUUUACGGUAGGUGAGAAGAAUUAGCACGUUGUGUAUCAAAUUUACCGUAAAACACACUUUUACAAACACAACAUGACAACUAUUCAACUUCUGAACUAAGACUUUUGCCACCAUUUCAGCACUGCUUCUUAUAAUUGAUAUAACAUAUGUAUGUAGGACUUGAAUCAGUUGGCCUGAAUCCAUUUAGAUUGUACACAAUACCUGGGCCAUAAGUUUGGACUCAGUUGGCCUGAAUCCAUUUAGAUUGUACACAGUACCUGGGCCAUAAGCUCUGACUUUCUUGGGGUUGAGUUUGGGUUUGAGAGGAGCUCCAGGCUUCAGCUUGGCCUUAGGGAACUGUGACAAGUACGUCAUGACCGACUGCUCAUCAACACUGGGGUCGAUGAUCUCCUCUGGAGCAAUCACCUGGAAAUAUACAACAUGGUUAACAUGGAUAAUACACGCCAGAUACCACUAACUAGUGUAGAGUUAAUGGUGCUGUCUGUCAGGCAGACAAACAAGGGGAUUUCAGUGUCAAAGCAGGCAUUUGGUAAGAACAGCACAUGGUCAAAGUGCAACACAGGUGUGGCUGAGAUGUGUGGUGUGACUGACCUCACAUUCCUAAGAGAGGAGUAAUGCUGCCUGUUUGAGGAAGUGUGAAUAGGACUAUUCAUGAGUGAGUAGGUGUGGAUUUGAUAUGAAGGCUAGAACCUUUCACUGAACAAAUGGCUUGGUUAUCUUUUGGAGUUACCACCUCCAAGGCAAAUAAAGUAACUGUUCUGAAAUCAAUCAUUUUCCAUGUCCUCUUUCAAACCAUAACACUUAAUGCAAACAUCAUCAACUCUGGCUGAAGGCUUCAAAACUGAUGUAAAUACUUCUUAGCUUCACAUGCAUAACAUCAGGUCAGCUUCUGCCAGUUAAAUGCAUACAAGGUCACCGUCAAAUAUUCUCUCCAAAUGAAUGGAUACUGUCGCUGUUAGUUGUAAUUUGAGAUGCACAAACAGGACCCCAGUCAUCUCUAUUUGAGCAGGUGUGCUGUGUGCUUUGGGAACAUCCCAUUGGGUUGAAGUUAAAGAAUGGGGCUGGUCAUCUCUAUUUGAGCAGGUGAUAUCUAUUUGAGCAGGUGUGCUGUGUGCUUUGGGAACAUCCCAUUGGGUUGAAGUUAAAGCAUGGGGCUGGUCAUCUCUAUUUGAGCAGGUGUGCUAUGUGCUUUGGGAACAUCCCAUUGGGUUGAAGUUAAAGCAUGGGGCUGGUCAUCUCUAUUUGAGCAGGUGUGCUAUGUGCUUUGGGAACAUCCCAUUGGGUUGAAGUUAAAGCAUGGGGCUGACCUGUGGGAUUCCCAACCAAUCAUCAGCCAGCUGCAUGGCCUCAGUAGCAUUAUCCACAGGUUUCCCUGUACCCCAUGUCUCCCAGUCAGGACACAGGCCUGUAGUGAACACAAACGCCACAUCAAUCAACCAUAGCACCACAUACAUUAUCUUCUGAGAUAUAAAGUGAGCUUUGUACAACAGCUAUUUAUAGCUUAUUAUUAUUUAUAGAUUAUAUUAGAUCUGCUCUGAAAAUAACUUUUCCAUAAAACAGAAAGAACAAAGAGAGCACAGAUGACAUGUACAUGUUGACUUGAUGUGUUUGUGGAUCUACUCACCAGGGGCACAACUAUCAACCAGGGCACCCAGGGCUUUGCCGUCGCGCCAGUCCCGACUGAAGUUGCCCAGUGGCAGGUCUGGCACUUUGUUCUGGAUCCAUCCCAGCAGCCGCUGCUUCGGUGUCUUUUUCUCGGCCUCAUCGUCAGCCUCGUCCUCCCACACAGGCAUAGAAAUGGAGUAAUGCAGGAUGAGCGUCCACACCAUCCCAAGGAUAAGCUUAAGGUUUCCAUCUACAAUUGCCUUACUAUCUGCAGGAGAACAAGCAGAAAGGGGGCGGGGGGGGGUCAGUCUCCUCUAAGUGAAAACAAAAGGGGUUGAAGGACUAGAUCACUGAAGCAUACAUAUGUACAAGGGAGAUCUAGAACAAAGGCCCACUUGCCUGGCCUG